ACUUUGGGAAUUCCGGUUUUAUUUUUUUCUCGGCUGUUUAAUUCUCCCGGUUUUCCCAUUCGCUUUGUAAGAGUCUCACACUCAGAAUUGGCGUGACGAAUCUUCUAGGCCCGUCUUUCUUUCACUCUCCCUCUCUCUCUCUCUCUCAUCUGUAUGGAUUCCUUCGAGAUUUUGCUAAAACCCUAGUUACGGAGAUCGUGAAUUCGCUUGUUGGUAGGAUGGGCAGUAAGCAGGAAGAGGAAAGCUCCAUGGAGGCUAGCGAGUUCCCUGCUGAUCCCCCCAAUUCUGCAUCCUGUCUACCUCCCAGAAAGCGCUUACUUGCUGGAUUGAGGAUGCAGAAUGGAUUUUUGCCCCCUUCAUCCUCUUCCCCCUGUUCCUCCUUGUCCUCUUCCUCAUCUUCAUCACCAUCAUCGUCAACAUCAUCAUCACUGUCACCCUUAUUGUCAUCAUUGUCUUUGUCCACGCCAUGCAUUUCAUCUGCUUCAACUGAAUUUGGUGUCCACAUUUGUGACUUCCUAAAUGGCAAUAGAAGGAUUUUUCUCUCGCCAGAGGAGGUCAUUGAAGCCUCUAGGUCAGCAGCUGUGGCUGCUGCUGGAAUCGCAGCUGCUGCCAAGGCGACAGCUUUGGAGAAGGCAGAAAUAGCAGCUAAAGCAGCUGCAGCAGCCAAAAAUGCUCUUGAGCUUGUAGCUUCUUCCACUGAUAAGGCUUUCAGCAAAGGAGUUUACAGGAAAGGUAAGCCCAAGAAGCAUGUCCCAGUUAAGCUUUUGUACAAGAAUAAGUCUGUGAAAGAAAAUUGUGAGGCUGGGAGAACUAAAGGCAAUAAUAACUCUUUUGGACGAAUCAACAAGAGAAAAUCAGAUGCUCAGGAUAUAGGUGAUGGGGAAAACAGGUUCAAGGUACCGAGACAGGGUAAAAGUAAAACUAUAGCUUCUCAAGAGCAUGUUGAUGAUGAAGAAUUUGCUUUCCAGCUACAUCGAGCUAUGAAUAGCUCCCCAAGGAUUUUAAAGAAGACUAUGAGUGCGGCCUUGAAAACUGAGGAUAAACCAAAUGAUUCUGACCUUUCCAGCAAAAUCAUAAGCCACAAGAAACAUAGAGAAUCCAAGUAUGCUUUAUUAGAAAAAGUCCCAGUUAGUGAGGAAUCUCAAAUUUGUAAGGGCAAUGCUACAUCUUUAUCUGACGGCCAUGGUAACAAUCAUGUGGAAAGCAAACAGUCCACCUGUAAUAUAGUGGAUUCUUUGGCCACAAAAGUGAAGUCAUCCAUUUGUUAUCCUACCGAGGAUUGUUCUCAACAAUGCGAGGACAGGUCAACUAUUCCUCAUGAGGAGGGUAAAGCUGACCACUCUAUGGUUGAUGGUAAGCAACAGGUUGGUGCUUCUGAAACUGGUAGUCAUGGUAAGUUGAUGUUUAAGCAUAAGAAAUUAUUGCUAAAUCUUUCUACCGUUAGAAAUUCUAAAAACCAGCCACUUGAUCUGAAGUCAGCUCAAGGUAAAAAGUCUGAGGUUCUUCAGCGUCAAGAAGAAUCAGAACCAAAAGGCUUUUCAUCAGUUGAGGUAUCUGCACCACAUUCUUUUGUUGAGAGGCUGACAUCUGAACAUGAUGUGAGAAAUAAGCCCUUAUUCAUGUUGACUUCAUCUGAACAACAUGAAGCAUCAAAUGAGGCAUCAGGCAUAUGGAACUUCAGGAAAUUGUUGUUCCCACAGUCCCAGUGUGUAGCAGAAAGUAAAAGCUUGUGCUCCCUACACACUAAUCCUACUGUUACUACAGUGUGUUCUUCAAUCAAAGUUGAUGAAUAAGAUAAAGAGGAUGACUAGAAAUGGAAAAAAAAAUGUCACCAUCGUGUGAGAAUAAGAUUUGCUUGUGGAUAGCUUCUUGCUAUGAUAUUUUGAAUCUAAAUCUGAAGAACUGAUAACUUUGAAUAUCUAAUUGAAUAGUGAUUGACAUGAUGUACAUGGUUUUUGGCUUAAAGGUCCUCAUCUGGCAAUGGACAAGCUAGUGAAAACAGUGAAAAGAAAACUUAUCGGCUGAGAGUUGUAUUUCUGGUUUCGUAUCAUGGCUAACUAAACUUGAGAAAUUCCUUCUAUAAUGAAAUAUAUUUUGGCUACGUUUUGUGUACUUCUUUGAAAUCAGAGAUGUGCGUUGAUUCAGUUUCUACUGUAACCAGAUUGCAGAUCACUGAAAUGUUGUGGGAAGUUUUCCUUCUAAGAAGUACACGAGGGCUAGUUUGUAGCUUACCAAAGGACUGUUAUGUAUUUUCACUAUUUUGCAUUUUUCAUUGCCUACUGAUUGACCUC